GGGCGCACGGUGGAUGCCUUGACACUAGGAGUCGAUGAAGGACGGGACUAACGCCGAUAUGCUUCGGGGAGCUGUAAGUAAGCUUUGAUCCGAAGAUUUCCGAAUGGGGAAACCCACCAUACGUAAUGGUAUGGUAUCCUUAUCUGAAUACAUAGGGUAAGGAAGACAGACCCAGGGAACUGAAACAUCUAAGUACCUGGAGGAAGAGAAAGCAAAUGCGAUUUCCUGAGUAGCGGCGAGCGAAACGGAACAUAGCCCAAACCAAGAGGCUUGCCUCUUGGGGUUGUAGGACAUUCUAUACGGAGUUACAAAGGAACGAGGUAGACGAAGCGACCUGGAAAGGUCCGUCGUAGAGGGUAACAACCCCGUAGUCGAAACUUCGUUCUCUCUUGAAUGUAUCCUGAGUACGGCGGAACACGUGAAAUUCCGUCGGAAUCUGGGAGGACCAUCUCCCAAGGCUAAAUACUCCCUAGUGAUCGAUAGUGAACCAGUACCGUGAGGGAAAGGUGAAAAGCACCCCGGAAGGGGAGUGAAAGAGAUCCUGAAACCGUGUGCCUACAAAUAGUCAGAGCCCGUUAACGGGUGAUGGCGUGCCUUUUGUAGAAUGAACCGGCGAGUUACGAUCCCGUGCGAGGUUAAGCUGAAGAGGCGGAGCCGCAGCGAAAGCGAGUCUGAAUAGGGCGUUUAGUACGUGGUCGUAGACCCGAAACCAGGUGAUCUACCCAUGUCCAGGGUGAAGUUCAGGUAACACUGAAUGGAGGCCCGAACCCACGCACGUUGAAAAGUGCGGGGAUGAGGUGUGGGUAGCGGAGAAAUUCCAAUCGAACCUGGAGAUAGCUGGUUCUCCCCGAAAUAGCUUUAGGGCUAGCCUUAAGUGUAAGAGUCUUGGAGGUAGAGCACUGAUUGGACUAGGGGUCCUCAUCGGAUUACCGAAUUCAGUCAAACUCCGAAUGCCAAUGACUUAUCCUUAGGAGUCAGACUGCGAGUGAUAAGAUCCGUAGUCAAAAGGGAAACAGCCCAGACCGCCAGCUAAGGUCCCAAAGUGUGUAUUAAGUGGAAAAGGAUGUGGAGUUGCUUAGACAACUAGGAUGUUGGCUUAGAAGCAGCCACCAUUUAAAGAGUGCGUAAUAGCUCACUAGUCGAGUGACUCUGCGCCGAAAAUGUACCGGGGCUAAAUACACCACCGAAGCUGCGGAUUGAUACCGAAUGGUAUCAGUGGUAGGGGAGCGUUCUAAGGACAGUGAAGUCAGACCGGAAGGACUGGUGGAGUGCUUAGAAGUGAGAAUGCCGGUAUGAGUAGCGAAAGACGGGUGAGAAUCCCGUCCACCGAAUGCCUAAGGUUUCCUGAGGAAGGCUCGUCCGCUCAGGGUUAGUCAGGACCUAAGCCGAGGCCGACAGGCGUAGGCGAUGGACAACAGGUUGAUAUUCCUGUACCACCUCUUUAUCGUUUGAGCAAUGGAGGGACGCAGAAGGAUAGAAGAAGCGUGCGAUUGGUUGUGCACGUCCAAGCAGUUAGGCUGAUAAGUAGGCAAAUCCGCUUAUCGUAAAGGCUGAGCUGUGAUGGGGAAGCUCCUUAUGGAGCGAAGUCUUUGAUUCCCCGCUGCCAAGAAAAGCUUCUAGCGAGAUAAAAGGUGCCUGUACCGCAAACCGACACAGGUAGGCGAGGAGAGAAUCCUAAGGUGUGCGAGAGAACUCUGGUUAAGGAACUCGGCAAAAUGACCCCGUAACUUCGGGAGAAGGGGUGCUUUCUUAACGGAAAGCCGCAGUGAAUAGGCCCAAGCGACUGUUUAGCAAAAACACAGCUCUCUGCGAAGCCGUAAGGCGAAGUAUAGGGGGUGACACCUGCCCGGUGCUGGAAGGUUAAGGAGAGGGGUUAGCGUAAGCGAAGCUCUGAACUGAAGCCCCAGUAAACGGCGGCCGUAACUAUAACGGUCCUAAGGUAGCGAAAUUCCUUGUCGGGUAAGUUCCGACCCGCACGAAAGGUGUAACGAUUUGGGCACUGUCUCAACCAGAGACUCGGUGAAAUUAUAGUACCUGUGAAGAUGCAGGUUACCCGCGACAGGACGGAAAGACCCCGUGGAGCUUUACUGUAGCCUGAUAUUGAAUUUUGGUACAGUUUGUACAGGAUAGGCGGGAGCCUUUGAAACCGGAGCGCUAGCUUCGGUGGAGGCGCUGGUGGGAUACCGCCCUGACUGUAUUGAAAUUCUAACCUACGGGUCUUAUCGACCCGGGAGACAGUGUCAGGUGGGCAGUUUGACUGGGGCGGUCGCCUCCUAAAGUGUAACGGAGGCGCCCAAAGGUUCCCUCAGAAUGGUUGGAAAUCAUUCGUAGAGUGCAAAGGCAUAAGGGAGCUUGACUGCGAGACCUACAAGUCGAGCAGGGACGAAAGUCGGGCUUAGUGAUCCGGUGGUUCCGCAUGGAAGGGCCAUCGCUCAACGGAUAAAAGCUACCCCGGGGAUAACAGGCUUAUCUCCCCCAAGAGUCCACAUCGACGGGGAGGUUUGGCACCUCGAUGUCGGCUCAUCGCAUCCUGGGGCUGUAGUCGGUCCCAAGGGUUGGGCUGUUCGCCCAUUAAAGCGGUACGCGAGCUGGGUUCAGAACGUCGUGAGACAGUUCGGUCCCUAUCCGUCGUGGGCGUAGGAAAUUUGAGAGGAGCUGUCCUUAGUACGAGAGGACCGGGAUGGACGCACCGCUGGUGUACCAGUUGUUCUGCCAAGGGCAUAGCUGGGUAGCUAUGUGCGGAAGGGAUAAGUGCUGAAAGCAUCUAAGCAUGAAGCCCCCCUCAAGAUGAGAUUUCCCAUAGCGUAAGCUAGUAAGAUCCCUGAAAGAUGAUCAGGUUGAUAGGUUCGAGGUGGAAGCAUGGUGACAUGUGGAGCUGACGAAUACUAAUAGAUCGAGGACUUAACCAA
rnacentral:rRNA from 1 species